rnacentral:rRNA from 1 species
GAGUGGCGAACGGGUGAGUAACACGUGGGUGAUCUGCCCUGCACUUUGGGAUAAGCCUGGGAAACUGGGUCUAAUACCGAAUAGGACCACGCACUUCCUGGUGUGUGGUGGAAAGCUUUUGCGGUGUGGGAUGGGCCCGCGGCCUAUCAGCUUGUUGGUGGGGUAAUGGCCUACCAAGGCGACGACGGGUAGCCGGCCUGAGAGGGUGACCGGCCACACUGGGACUGAGAUACGGCCCAGACUCCUACGGGAGGCAGCAGUGGGGAAUAUUGCACAAUGGGCGCAAGCCUGAUGCAGCGACGCCGCGUGAGGGAUGACGGCCUUCGGGUUGUAAACCUCUUUCAAUAGGGACGAAGCGCAAGUGACGGUACCUAUAGAAGAAGGACCGGCCAACUACGUGCCAGCAGCCGCGGUAAUACGUAGGGUCCGAGCGUUGUCCGGAAUUACUGGGCGUAAAGAGCUCGUAGGUGGUUUGUCGCGUUGUUCGUGAAAACUCACAGCUUAACUGUGGGCGUGCGGGCGAUACGGGCAGACUAGAGUACUGCAGGGGAGACUGGAAUUCCU